GGGGGUAUAGCUCAGAGGCAGAGUGCGUACUUAGCAUGCACGAGGUCCCAGGUUCAAUCUCUAGUACCUCCU
rnacentral:tRNA from 1 species